rnacentral:misc_RNA from 1 species
AACCUAGCACACCUGCGGUGUGUACCUGCGGAGGGAUCAUUACCGAGUUAGGGUAGUUACUCGCUGCCCGACCUCCCAACCCUGUGUCUACCACACUUUGUCGUUGCUUCGGCGGACCGGUCGACCAACUGGUCGUGACCGCCGGGGGCUGGCUCUGUCACCCCUGGAGAGCGUCCGCCGAUGGCCCAACCACAAACUCUUGUACCGAAACGUGUCGUCUGAAUAAUUGAGAAAUCAAAU